AUUUACGCUGGCGGCGUGCCUAACACAUGCAAGUCGAACGACCCUCCUUACCGGAUUCUUCGGAUGAAAGUCUGGUGACUGAGUGGCGGACGGGUGAGUAACGCGUGGGUAACCUGCCCUGUACAGGGGGAUAACAGCUGGAAACGGCUGCUAAUACCGCAUAAGCGCACGAGGAGACAUCUCCUUGUGUGAAAAACUCCGGUGGUACAGGAUGGGCCCGCGUCUGAUUAGCUGGUUGGCAGGGUAACGGCCUACCAAGGCAACGAUCAGUAGCCGGUCUGAGAGGAUGAACGGCCACAUUGGAACUGAGACAUGGUCCAAACUCCUACGGGAGGCAGCAGUGGGGAAUAUUGCACAAUGGGGGAAACCCUGAUGCAGCAACGCCGCGUGAGUGAAGAAGUAUUUCGGUAUGUAAAGCUCUAUCAGCAGGGAAGAUAAUGACGGUACCUGACUAAGAAGCUCCGGCUAAAUACGUGCCAGCAGCCGCGGUAAUACGUAUGGAGCAAGCGUUAUCCGGAUUUACUGGGUGUAAAGGGUGCGUAGGUGGCAGUGCAAGUCAGAUGUGAAAGGCCGGGGCUCAACCCCGGAGCUGCAUUUGAAACUGCUCGGCUAGAGUACAGGAGAGGCAGGCGGAAUUCCUAGUGUAGCGGUGAAAUGCGUAGAUAUUAGGAGGAACACCAGUGGCGAAGGCGGCCUGCUGGACUGUUACUGACACUGAGGCACGAA
rnacentral:rRNA from 1 species